UACGUAGGUGGCGAGCGUUGUCCGGAUUUACUGGGCGUAAAGAGCGCGCAGGCGGUCGUGCAAGUCGCGUGUGAAAGCCCCCGGCUCAACUGGGGAGGGUCACGCGAUACUGCUCGACUUGAAGGCAGGAGAGGGAAGUGGAAUUCCCGGUGUAGUGGUGAAAUGCGUAGAUAUCGGGAGGAACACAGUGGCGAAGGCGACUUCCUGGCCUGUUCUUGACGCUGAGGCGCGAAAGCUAGGGUAGCAAACGGG
rnacentral:rRNA from 1 species